GGCUGCAACAACCCCGUGGAUGGGGGCUUAUCUGAAGCGUUCGGCAUUCAUGCUGUUCGCCUCAGGGUGGUUAGUGCAUCCACUGCAGUC
rnacentral:sRNA from 12 species